CUCUGACAAGCAUGUUCUCCUAUGGGAUACGAAGUACAUGAAGAGGAAUGAAGAAGCCCAUGUUUGAUGCUCGUCUCCAGGGUGGAGUAUUGAAUUUAUAACUAAUGAAGUGGCAUCUGACACAUGACAAGCUGCUCCUGUUUGCACAGCAACUUCAACAUUGUGUACUGUGAUCACGGCAUAGUUCAGAGGUAGGUAACCUUGGGCAGUCCAGAUGCUGUGAAUUACAUCUCCCAUAAUGCUGGCAAACCAUUAUGGGAGAUGUAGUGCAAAACCUCUGGAAUACCGAAUGCGGAUGAAUGCAAAGUAUGGUGUGUGAAUGGUCAGUAACAAGGGUUGAAGCCUUGACGUGGCGUUACUGCUCACAUGUGUAUUCAUGUGCCAAUUCAACCAAUGUGAGUCACUGUAAUACUUAUAAGGUAACCAAAAGUACUGUGAUUGUGGAGAAUGAAACUCCUUAUCCUAUGAAAUCUCCUAUACACUGCUGACACUGUGACCGUAUCUCCUAUACACUGCUGACACUGUGACCGUAUCUCCUAUACACUGCUGACACUGUGACUGUAUCUCCUAUACACUGCUUACACUGUGACCGUAUCUCCUAAACACUGCUCACACUGUGACCGUAUCUCCUAAACACUGCUCACACUGUGACCGUAUCUCCUAUACACUGCUGACACUGUGACCGUAUCUCCUAUACACUGCUGACACUGUGACCGUAUCUCCUAUACACUGCUUACACUGUGACCCAAUCGCCUAAACACUGCUUACACUGUGAAUGUUAUUUUUUUCAAGUUUGUUUUAGUGUUUGCGGUUUCAUUGAUUUGUUAACCAUUCUCCUCACUCUUCUGUUCUGUGUUUUCUUACAUUUGUGGGAAGAACAAGGUGAUCCUCUCAAUUUUACACUCCUUUACUGAUGGUUCCAGUGCCAGAGACAACCCCACCACCAUUAACCUCGACCUGCUCAAACAGAAGAGAUUACCUUCUUCUAUAGAAAACGUCCUUAUGGCUGUUUCGGAACACAUGGUGCAGACAUGAUGUAACCUUAAUUUUCCAGUGAUUAAGACUCGUGGACCGUCCAGGGAAAGAGACCAUUACAUUAUUAAGAUACUACCUUCCUAAUGCCAUACAGCCUUUCUUUACAUGUGAUCAUGUGAUUGAACUUUCUCCUUCUUGGAUACCACAGUGUGACUUUUCU